GUGAGUUAUAAAUCUACUGGUACCAUUUCUUUUUCGUCACUUGCCUAAUCCUGUGCCCUUCGUUUCAUGUGCUGUAAUUAUUAACAUCUGCUUUCUGAGCCUGGCCCGCAUGGAGUUUGCAAAGGCAGUUUUCAGUCCAGAACAAUGGUGACAGCUGUUUCAUUUAGCCUAGGGCCAGCACUUCCUGUUCAGUCUACAUCUGCCCUCCUGUGUCCAAUUUCUGAUUCAGGGUUUUCUGUUUUGUUUUCUGGGUUGUUUUUUUUUUUUUUUCCUUCAUCUGACCUUACUAUAUGUUUAAGAAGAAUUUCUAACUUAACACUCCGGCUAGUAUUUCUAGCACAUAUGCUUAUUAGAUUGGCGACAGCCAAAGAGAGAGAUAGGAGAAAGCCAGGACUGUCUUCCGCAGCUAACAAGGUGGAGGGCAGACAGAGGUACAAAGGAGGUCUGACCAUGAAUCUAGGGGACCAGACUCAAGGAAACUUCUGGGCCUUGAAGUUGAAGUAUAGGCUCACCUCUCUGGAAGCUAGGCACAGGAAGAGCGGCCUUAGCUCACCUGUCCCCUGGCCCAGUAUCAUCUCCAUAGCUUAUUUGGUAAGAGGUCACCCAAACGUAUCUCUGAGGGAACCGUGUGUCUGGGUGGCCACCAACACACGGCGGCCCUUCUUCCUUGGGAAUCAAGGAAGCUUGUCAGACCUUCUCCACCCUUCUCAGUGGCUCACAGGAAAAGAGAUCGGGACCUGCUCCCAGGAGCCAGCGAACAGAAGGCACAGCUCAGGUGUGAAAGAGAUGCAGUUGAGAGGGGCCUUCUCCCCCAGAAUCCCCACCAGACGUCAGGGAUGCAGAGUCAGAAAGGCCCUGGACCUCACCCCCCGCCACCCCACCCUGAGAAGAACCAGCCCUCCCAACGCUUGGCUUGAGCCUGGAGCAGCACAGAGGCCACUCCUGCAGGCACAACGAUCAUCAAGGGCUAUCCCUAAAGUCUGGAAUCAAAGGAGC
ensembl:lncRNA